rnacentral:rRNA from 1 species
GGGCCCGCACAAGCGGUGGAGUAUGUGGUUUAAUUCGAUGCAACGCGAAAAACCUUACCUAUACUUGACAUACUUGGAAUGCUUUGUAAUGAAGCAGUGCCUUCGGGAGCCAAGAUACAGGUGCUGCAUGGCUGUCGUCAGCUCGUGUCGUGAGAUGUUGGGUUAAGUCCCGCAACGAGCGCAACCCUCACUUUUAGUUGCCAUCAUUUAGUUGGGCACUCUGAAAGAACUGCCAGUGAUAAGCUGGAGGAAGGUGGGGAUGACGUCAAGUCCUCAUGGCCCUUACGUGUUGGGCUACACACGUGCUACAAUGGUAACUACAACAGGAAGCAAAACAGCGAUGUUAAGCAAAUCCUUAAAAGUUACCUCAGUUCGGAUUGCACUCUGCAACUCGAGUGCAUGAAGCUGGAAUUACUAGUAAUCGU